CGAAAGAUGAAAUUUUUUUAUCGAUUUAUUUGCCUGUGCCACACGUGCAAUAUUUCUAACAAAUUUCGAGAGUUUUUAGUUUAAGGUUCGUUGAUGCAACGUUGAAUGCAGUUUUAAGAUCGGCGACUAACUAAUUUGACGAUGUUACUUGAACAAUCAAUUCUACUCGAAAAAUCAACGUCUUGAAAAUCAACUGAUUAAUGAUAGAAGAUAAAACGUGAGGACGUUGAGACAAAUUGACUGUCUGAUACACGGAGUAUUCUACUUUCGUCUUUGUCUUCUCAAUAAGAGAAAAGAACGAAUUCCACGAUUACUAUUAAUAUGGUACAACGACCUGAUGGAAUUAACGUGUGUAAAUUAAAGUGUGUUAAAUUAAAGUUAUUUCAAAUCCAAGAAGAUGUAGCGAUACUGCAGGAAGAAUGAACAAUGAAUUAUUGGUUACAAUUUAUAUUUAUGUAACAAUCAAUAGUCCCAUGUAAUUAUGUAACAGUUUCAUCGAGGAAUGAUCUGUGUGGAAGAAACUAAGUUCGAUCAUUUCAAAGGGGAAACGCAGUUUGUGAACAACAGGUGCUCAGCGAUAAAAGAGACGGAGAAUGCAAAGAGGGGUAGAAUGGAAAACGCGCAGGCGUUUUGUCGGCUCAUGAAUACACUCCAUGCAACAACAUUCAACAUUAUCUGAUGGAAAAAUUUUUUUUAAAUCGGAACUUCGCUAAAAGUUCUUGAGCCAUUCGAGAUAGGGCGUGUAGUAAUAUCGGCUUGAUAGCGGGCUGCACAAAAAGCUCCAGCUGUUUCUCUAUUAUUCUUGAAGGUGUUAUUUCUUUCCCUCUUUGCUUCUUCCUUGCCCCCUUUUAGCGAUGGGAACGACCUUAUAUAUUUAGAACGAAACAAACCUUAUUUUUACACAUUUGAAAUUAAUUAAUUAAGAUGAAUUCUAAUUGUAACUAUGAUCAAUUCUUGCUAACUUUUCCAUAGAAAAGAUUUGCGUAGUUACGCUUGCGUGUCUAAUUAUCAGAUAGAUUAGAUCAGAGCUAUUUUUAAAUUCUAAUUUGUUCGACAUUUCAACUAUUUGCAGAUGAAAUCAUAAUUUCAUUUCGUAUCAAACGGAUGUGAUCCUAAUUAAUAUAGAAAUACGAUACUUGACG